GAUGAACGCUGGCGGCGUGCCUAAUACAUGCAAGUCGAGCGAACGGACGAGAAGCUUGCUUUUCUGAUGUUAGCGGCGGACGGGUGAGUAACACGUGGAUAACCUACCUAUAAGACUGGGAUAACUUCGGGAAACCGGGGCUAAUACCGGAUAAUAUUUUGAACCGCAUGGUUCAAAAGUGAAAGGCGGUCUUGCUGUCACUUAUAGAUGGUUCCGCGCUGCAUUAGCUAGUUGGUAAGGUAACGGCUUACCAAGGCAACGAUGCAUAGCCGACCUGAGAGGGUGAUCGGCCACACUGGAACUGAGACACGGUCCAGACUCCUACGGGAGGCAGCAGUAGGGAAUCUUCCGCAAUGGGCGAAAGCCUGACGGAGCAACGCCGCGUGAGUGAUGAAGGUCUUCGGAUCGUAAAACUCUGUUAUUAGGGAAGAACAUAUGUGUAAGUAACUGUGCACAUCUUGACGGUACCUAAUCAGAAAGCCACGGCUAACUACGUG
rnacentral:rRNA from 1 species